UAAACGGCCCUUUUCAGGGCCAUCCAAAUUCUCUUAAAAGAGUGA
rfam:Lottia gigantea unplaced genomic scaffold LOTGIsca_17646, whole genome shotgun sequence.